UUAAUUAUUUUAUUUCUUUUUAUUCGAGUAGAAGAAUUAUAUCAUCUUUUCCCGUCUACUUCAUUCUUUUAUUCUUCAAUUUUGCGUUUUAAUUUCAUUUAACUAUAUCAUGUUUAUUAUUCCUACCUAUAUAUUAUGUUGGUUCUCUUCUAACUAGUUAUUAAACCAUUAUUCCAUGCCGGUAAACUAAAAUUCAAAUGAAAAUUAUGGUCAAAG
rnacentral:lncRNA from 1 species